GUAAAGCACUUUCAGUCGUGAGGAAGGUAGUGUAGUUAAUAGCUGCAUUAUUUGACGUUUAGCGACAGAAGAAAGCACCGGCUAACUCCGUGCCAGCAGCCGCGGUAAUACGGAGGGUGCGAGCGUUAAUCGGAAUUACUGGGCGUAAAGCGCAUGCAGGUGGUUUGUUAAGUCAGAUGUGAAAGACCCGGGGCGUCAACCUACGGAAUUGCAUUUAGUAAACUAGGCAGACUAGAGUACUGUAGAGGGGGGUAGGAAUUUCAGGUGUAGCGGUGAAAAUGCGUAGAGAUCUGAAGGAAUACCGGUGGCGAAGGCGGCCCCCUCGGACAGAUACUGACACUCAGAUGCGAAAGCGUGGGGAGCAAACAGGAUUAGAUACCCUGGUAG
rnacentral:rRNA from 1 species